UACGUAGGGUGCGAGCGUUGCCCGGAUUUAUUGGGCGUAAAGGGCGCGUAGGCGGUCACGCACGUCCGUUGUGAAAUCGCUCGGCUCAACUGGGCGGGGUCAGCGGAUACGGCGUGGCUGGAGCAAGCUAGGGGGUAAUGGAAUUCCCGGUGUAGUGGUGGAAUGCGUAGAUAUCGGGAGGAACACCAGUGGCGAAGGCGGUUACCUGGAGCUUUGCUGACGCUGAUGCGCGAAAGCGUGGGGAGCGAGCCGG
rnacentral:rRNA from 1 species